GUUAGGAAUAUUGGACAAUGGGCGCAAGCCUGAUCCAGCCAUGCCGCGUGAACGAUGAAGGCCUUCGGGUUGUAAAGUUCUUUAGCCGAUGAUUAUAAUGACUGUAGUCGGAAAAUAAGCCCCGGCUAACUUCGUGCCAGCAGCCGCGGUAAUACGAAGGGGGCGAGCGUUAUUCGGAAUCACUGGGCGUAAAGCGUGCGUAGGCGGUCUCGUAAGUUAGGAGUGAAAGCACAGGGCUCAACCUUGGAAUUGCUCUUAAAACUGCAAGGCUAGAAUCUCGGAGAGGAUAGCGGAAUUUCCAGUGUAGCAGUGAAAUGCGUAGAUAUUGGAAGGAACACCAGUGGCGUAAGCGGCUAUCUGGACGACUAUUGACGCUGAGGCACGAAAGCGUGGGGAUCAAACAGGAUUAGAAACCCCAGUAGUCC
rnacentral:rRNA from 1 species